rnacentral:rRNA from 1 species
GUCGAGCGAUGAAAUCUUGACAGAUCCUUUCGGGGUGAAGAUAAGAUGGAUCAUUGGCGGACGGGUGAGUAACACGUGAGUAACCUGCCUUAGACAUUGGGAUAGCCUCGGGAAACCGGGAUUAAUACCAAAUGAAAUCAUAGGUGCCCAUGCACUAAUGAUCAAAACUCCGGUGGUCUAAGAUGGACUCGCGUCCCAUUAGCUAGUUGGUGAGGUAACGGCCCACCAAGGCGACGAUGGGUAGCCGGCCUGAGAGGGUGAACGGCCACAUUGGAACUGAGAAACGGUCCAAACUCCUACGGGAGGCAGCAGUGGGGAAUAUUGCACAAUGGAGGGAACUCUGAUGCAGCGACGCCGCGUGAACGAUGAAGGCUUUCGAGUCGUAAAGUUCUUUUAUAUGGGAAGAUAAUGACGGUACCAUAAGAAAAAGCCCCGGCUAACUACGUGCCAGCAGCCGCGGUAAUACGUAGGGGGCUAGCGUUGUCCGGAAUCACUGGGCGUAAAGGGUUCGCAGGCGGAAAUGCAAGUCAGAUGUAAAAGGCAGUAGCUUAACUACUGUAAGCAUUUGAAACUGCAUAUCUUGAGAAGAGUAGAGGUAAGUGGAAUUUUUAGUGUAGCGGUGAAAUGCGUAGAUAUUAAAAAGAAUACCGGUGGCGAAGGCGACUUACUGGGCUCAUUCUGACGCUGAGGAACGAAAGCGUGGGUAGCAAACAGGAUUAGAUACCCUGGUAGUCCACGCUGUAAACGAUGAGUGCUAGGUAUCGGAAUAAUUCGGUGCCGCAGUUAACACAUUAAGCACUCCGCCUGGGGAGUACGUGCGCAAGCAUG